GAGUGUUUCUUCGUUUCUUUAAGAGCUACCAGAAAGCAGCCCACCCCCACUCCCAUUAAAAAAAAAAAAGAAAAAAAACGAGUGGGGAAGAGCCAGCCCCACGCCGGUCCGCCUCCCGCCCGCAGCCCGGCCUCCCUCCCGCUCGCCGCCUGGCUCGGCUCUCCAUCGCCCGGAGUUCUCCAUCCCCUGGAUCCCGGGCUCGCGGGGGCGCGGAGAAGAGGACCGAGGAAAGGAAAUAACACAUUACAUGAGGAGAUGGCGGGUCCGAGUUGAUUAAAAACUAAGAAAGCCAUUUUCAGAAGAAAUGAUGCUGUUUUCUCUCCCAGACGCUCCUUUGUAGGGCAUGAGGCACGCAGUUGGUCCUGGAGAGCACUGGAGUGUGAAUGUAUCAGGACCCCCGCCUCGUUCUCACUGGGGAAGUUCUCAGGCUGUUGGCACGGAUGUAUGCUUCAGUGAAGAUUCUGAAACUGUGCCCCAAGGUUACCAGCCACAUGUGGACAUGGACAUUCUAAAGUGGGCCUGGAUUCUUCUACCACCUGCAAUUCUACUGGUUUGU